GUCAGGCUAGCCUUGAACUCAUCUCAGUGGUCCAGAAUUGCCUUCUACUCUCUACCCUUUGCUUCAGCCUUCUGAGCACCAGCACAGGUGUGUGUGCCACACCCAGGGUUGACCCACCCUUCUCUUUCUUAUCGUCGCAAGAGCAACAAUAUUUACACAGCAGUAACUGUAAAGCAAAGAGACACCAGUUGCUAGGGAGAGGUGGAUCCUUGAAGGCUACUAACCCAGACUGAAUGAGUAUGCUGUAAGGCUCUUGAAGGAAAGAUACGGAGAGCAUGGAGGAGGGGUGCCUUCCCAAGGACCUUAGACUGGUGUGGGAAAUAUAAAUGCUCUACAGCAUGACCCAUCUUCAUCCCCAUGCUGGAAGGAAGGCCUGGUAGCCAGAAUAUAUCCUCCACCUGAGAGCCGGGAUCAUCACUAGUUCUUGAACAGAGGACCGCAGGAGCAUUUCCUUUAUAAAUGUCAUCAAGCAGAGCCAGGUGCACUGGCACAUAUCCUUAAUCCCAGCACUGGGAAGGCAGAGGCAAGAGAGUCACAGCAAGCUUGAGGCCUGCCUGGUCCACAUAUGGAGUCCCUGGAUAUUCAGAGCGCCACGGAAACCCUGUCUCAAACUCUAAAUAAAACGGACCAAGCAAAAAGGGGCCGGCAGAAAAGUAACUCAAGUCAGGAUGACUCAAGUCAGGAUGUUGGAAGAAGGAUCUCUGAGUGAGAUUUGAAAUCCUACCUGGAUCUGAAUCCUAGCCCUGAGCUUGCUAGCUGGGUAACCUGCUGUAAGUGACCAGAGGAGACACUGUUUUCUCUUGUAUGAUUAGAGUCGUCAUGCAAACUACGAACACUGUGAGAACCAAGAUAUGGCAGGUAUGCCCAGUGCUUAAAACCUACAGGCAUGGAGUGAUGCUCUGCUCGGUGCCGGGAUGGUGGCGGAGUGGAAAAGCCAUGCCCUCGUCCCAAGGCAGCCUCUCUCGAGACUGGCUACAGACUUUUUUUCUUUCCUACAACAAAAACGCAGACAUUUCUUAUUUCUCAGCACGCCUUAUCAACACAGCUUAUCCACUUCUCUGGAAGUUAGAGUUGCUCUUUUUCUUCUACCUGGAGACAGAGUACAAUAUCCUUUCAGGAACUGGGCUCUACGUAAGCCAAUGUGGUUGAUGCUAUAAAGAGUUCAUAUGGGUUUCCUACCCUUCCACACAGACUUGAAGAGGUUUCAUUUCUUCCUGUCUGCUCUGUCUUGUGACGUUGUUUCCAUUAAGGACACUAUAGAACUCAUUGGCUCUGUCACCUCUACCAUCAGUCCUUGCAGUUGCCGAGACACCUUUGAAAGGAUCACUCAUCCUUGUACAUCUUCGUAAGAGAUGUCUCCUAGCCUCUUUGAGACUCUGGUUGUCCGAUUCCCUGGGCCCUCCCUGCUCAGAACCGCAGCUAUGCUGACAAUGGCCACCCUAAGACUUCACAGGGGACUUAGCUGUGCUUGCUCCAUUGUGCUAAGCUCUCUCCUGGUUGCUAAGUCCCUAGUCUAAGGUUGUGGAUAGAGUACAGGGUGACUUGUCAAGUUGGAAUUUUAGAUAAACAACAAAAAACGGAGGCCCGUGUCUCAAGAGUUGAGUCUCGUGUUUAUUUGAUAAAUCUGCAGCAGGAAGGCCAGUCUCCCACCCAGGCUUCUGCACCUGAUAUUCUUCACCAGCAUGCAGGCGAAGUCAGUUCUGGACGAUACCAUAAAUGAAAACUGACCACAGCGACAGCAAUAAUGGCUGAGAUGCCCGAAACAGCUACCACGAUAAACACUUCACACCAAUUAGGUCAGAGCUCAAACAAGCAAAGCUAUCAUGAACAUGAACCUGCUGUUGGCAAAGCAAGACAGGACAGGACUGGUUUUUAAGAUUGAUUUUAUUUUUGGUUUGUGUGUAUGUGUGUUUCUCUGUAUAAGUAUAUAUUAGAAGUAUGCAGGAUGCCAGAAGAAGGUGUGUUGUAUGCUAUAUGUUUGUAGGUGACCAUGGAAGCUAGAGGAGAGUGCUGGGUCCCCGGAAAUAUAAUUGCAGGUUGUUUUGAGCCACCUGUUGUGGGUGGCAGGUAAUAUAGUUUAAGGUCAGCGUGAGGCACUUUGAGACAUAUGGCCCAGCAAAGUCACUAGCUAUCCCUAUGACCUUGGGAUUUUUGUUUGGUUGGCUUUUUGAUUCAGGGGGUGGGGGGAGUUGUUUGUUUGUUUGGGUUGGGUUUGGGUGUCUGUUUGUUGCUAUGUACUCGUGAGUAUAAGCAGAGACAUUGGAUUCCCAUGGAACUGGAGUUACGGACAAUUGUGAGACAUCUGAUGUGGGUAUUAGGAAUUGAACUCAGACCUUCCAGAAGGUAGUAUAUUCUCUUAACGACCGCGGAGCCAUCUCUCCAGCUCAGACAUUAGGCUUUGC
rnacentral:lncRNA from 1 species